AAAAAUUUAGUUAACUUAUAACAUUAACAUGUCAAGUUAAAAUAAUUAGAACAUAUAAUAAUUUUUA
rnacentral:tRNA from 1 species